UGGGGAAUAUUGCACAAUGGGGGAAACCCUGAUGCAGCGACGCCGCGUGAACGAAGAAGGUAUUCGUAUCGUAAAGUUCUGUCCUAUGGGAAGAUAGUGACAGUACCAUAGAAGAAAGCUCCGGCUAAAUACGUGCCAGCAGCCGCGGUAAUACGUAUGGAGCGAGCGUUGUCCGGAAUUAUUGGGCGUAAAGGGUACGCAGGCGGUUUAAUAAGUCGAAUGUUAAAGAUCGGGGCUCAACCCCGCAAAGCAUUGGAAACUGAUAAACUUGAGUAGUGGAGAGGAAAGUGGAAUUCCUAGUGUAGUGGUGAAAUACGUAGAUAUUAGGAGGAAUACCAGUAGCGAAGGCGACUUUCUGGACACAAACUGACGCUGAGGUACGAAAGCGUGGGGAGCAAACAGG
rnacentral:rRNA from 1 species